rnacentral:lncRNA from 1 species
GGAUGUCUGCUGUGUGCCAGGCUGCCUGGCCUUGGGGGGCUACUUAAGAUUUUCUUCAUUUUAAAAAAUUGGGGGGUUUUUUGGCUCAGCAGUAAAUAGAAAUGAGGAUUUCUUGUGAACAUUUAGUACGGAGAUGUAUGCAGAUCGGUGUUUGGGGUCCACAGUAAGGUAUUAUGUCAAACACUUAAAAUUGUCCUGGAAGAUUUCUAUUAUAGAUCAGUGCAGAAUGGAUCAAAACGGAAAGAAGCCUCUCUGGCCAGAAGAAGUCUUCAUUGGAAGAAAUAACAUCCCUAAAGAAGGAACGUGUAAAUCAGGAAUUGAGCCAAGAAAAAGCCUGGGAGGAUUCUUCCAAGAAGAAACAGAUGGAUCAAUCAAUCUAUCUCUCUAGGCUUCCCUGGUGGCUCAGCUGGUAAAGAAUCUACCUGC